rnacentral:rRNA from 1 species
GAUGAACGCUAGCGGCAGGCUUAAUACAUGCAAGUCGAACGGUAACAGGUCCAGCAAUGGAUGCUGACGAGUGGCGCACGGGUGCGUAACACGUAUGCAACCUACCUUUAACUAAGGAAUAGCCCCGAGAAAUCGGGAUAAAUACUUUAUAAAAUUAUGAAAGGGCAUCUUUUUAUAAUUAAAGUUCAGGCGGUUAAAGAUGGGCAUGCGCGACAUUAGCUAGUUGGUAAGGUAACGGCUUACCAAGGCUGCGAUGUCUAGGGGUUCUGAGAGGAUUAUCCCCCACACUGGUACUGAGACACGGACCAGACUCCUACGGGAGGCAGCAGUAAGGAAUAUUGGGCAAUGGACGCAAGUCUGACCCAGCCAUGCCGCGUGCAGGAUGAAUGCCCUUGGGUCGUAAAGCUCUGACAGAGGGAAAGAAAUGCAGGGGAGCUAAUAUCUCCUUUGCUUGACGGUACCCUCAAAGGAAGCACCGGCUAACUCCGUGCCAGCAGCCGCAGUAAAAC